UGGGGAUGACGUCAAGUCCUCAUGGCCUUUAUGACCAGGGCUACACACGUACUACAAUGGCCGAUACAAAGGGCAGCGACACUGCGAGGUGAAGCCAAUACCCGUAAAAUCGGUCUCAGUCCGGAUUGGAGUCUGCAACUCGACUCCAUGAAGUUGGAAUCGCUAGUAAUCGUGGAUCAGCAUGCCACGGUGAAUACGGUUCCCGGGCCUU
rnacentral:rRNA from 1 species